CGCCGCCGCGGGGCUGCGGCCGAUGAAGCGAGGACCCAGACGCCGGGGGGCGGUGCUUCCUGUCUCUCUGCGCCAGCCUCGGCCUGCGGCGGGGCAGAGCGCCGGAAACGGCCUUCGCGGCGUUAGGAAUUGCGGGCGAAAGCUAAACGGGGAGAUUUUAGAGAUUCGCCAGCAAAUCGAAACAAAACUGCCCCUACUAACUGUACCAACAGUGAACCCUUGAAAAUGCCUUUCUGGAGAGGGUUAAACAAAUGCCUGAAAUGAUUUUGCCAUAAACCUGAGCGUUCCACCAGACACCCAUCUGGAUUGAUAACUUGAAACCAGUAAAGUGUGGGAGUGAAAUAAAAACAAAAGCCCUAGCUAAAUUCUAGCAUUAUGGUCAAACCAUAUUUGGAGACAGGUCGGCCCGCUAAAACAAAGUAACAGUAGACCGGCUGCAAGCUGCCUUGGGUGUCCACUUUCAUUUCUCACGAAGUCCUGCAGAUAACCUUACUUCUUCCUGCCCAAAGAAAAGUAAAAACCAUGAAGCUCAGUGUCUCCCUCCUCACUACCAAAAGACUAUUUACAGUAUGAGUCAAUUUCAGAACUUCUGAGAGCAUGAAGCAGACCCACACCACUUUCAGCUUUUGAGGAUCUGGACAUUUUCAACUUUGGUACUGAGGAAAUUAUUUAAGGGCAUUGUGAGUUGUUUGUUAUUUUUAAGUAGAUAAAGCAUUUACAUUAUUUACAAAUCAAAA